rnacentral:rRNA from 1 species
GACGAACGCUGGCGGCGUGCCUAAUACAUGCAAGUAGGACGCAGUUGCGAACGGGUGAGUAACGCGUAGGUAACUACCUAUUAGAGGGGGAUAACUAUUGGAAACGAUAGCUAAUACCGCAUACUAGUAGAUGGACCUGCGUUGUAUUAGCUAGUAGGUAGGGUAAUGGCCUACCUAGGCAACCAUAAAUAGCCGACCUGAGAGGGUGAGACGCCACAAUGGCACUGAGAACCGGCCCAGACUACUACGGGAGGCAGCAGUAGGGAAUCUUCGGCAAAGGGGGGAACCCUUACCCAGCAACGCCGCGUGAGUGAAGAAGGGUUUCGGGUCGUAAAGCUCUGUUGUUAAGGAAGCGGUACUUAACCAGAAAGGCACGGCUAACUACGUGCCAGCCGCCGCGGUAAUUC